GAGAGGGGGAGAGAGUGAGAGAGAAAGAAGGAGGGAGCGAGGCUGUGAGAUGGAGUGGGGCGGGGCUUUAAAAUCCAUCUGAGAUUUAAGUAGACAGUGAAGAUAAUUCUGGGGUUGCUAGAUUUUCAUUUUUUAAUCCUCCUGCUGCUGCCUGGGUCACAAGACUUCGGCAAAUUUAGAAUCCAUUCUCUUAUCACUAGUAUUAGCAGCGAAUGACUGGCUUGACGACCCUGAAUUAUCAUAUGCUAGCAAAAGCUUUAAAAAUAGAGGAGUACAAAGUCCCAAAUUCUCAUACAUUGUAAUUAUAGUGCAUUGCCACCACUGCUUCAUUUAUCCAUAUAAGGAGUGUAUGGUAUUUUCCAUUUUGAAUAGAAGGGCUAUAUUCACCUCUGUCAUACAGCCUGUUUUUUCAUUCAAGGAUGAAAAUAGUAAUCACUCAAAGCCAGGAAAUUUCCAUACAUGUAGUUAUUGAGUUAGCCUGUCCCUUAAACAUGUUUUAAAUAUAUGAGUAUCAUUACAGGACUGAGACCCUGAAAACAAAUAUUUUGAAAUAUUAAAGAAGCAUAUGACCAAAGAUAUAAUUAUUUUUAAGUGAUGAUUCAGUACCACUGCAAAGUUAUUAAUAUAUUCAGUAAGUUACUUAACUCAUAUACUGGAGAAGCAUCUUUCUCAAGACAUUUGUGAGAGGACAGUCAGAUGUACACAAAAGCUCUGCCUUUUGAUAACCUCCUGACAAUAACUACUGUAAAAUGGAGAUACUGCUCUGAACUAUUAAACAAAAGAUGUCAGCCAGAGAUUUAAAAGUUUUAUUUUAUUAAAGACUUCUUAAAAUGCUUAAUUGAUAUUUUUCAUUUCAAAGUUUCAUACACAAAAUAGAAGCUCGAGGAAAUGCUUUAUAGCCGCCUACCUUACUGUUCUUUCUACUUCUCACACACCUGCCUCUCCUCUUCCCCCAAGGAAAACAAAAUCCAAACCAAUAUAUUAUGCAUCACAAAUUGCUAGCUUCUACCAAUAAAACCUACUUAAGAUUGCUCUUAUGUUCCUGAGUUCCCUUGGUCUAAAACAAUGGCUUUGAUUGCAUUUGUUUGUAAAAUACAACACAAUGAGGUAAGCGAACCUUGGAUUCAGACAACACAAAGUUAGGUCACUGCUAAAGAAGAUGGCCAGAAAAAAAUACAUUUUCAUACUUGGUUUAAAUUAAAUGGUGCUGCAGUAAACCAUUAUAAUUCAGGGAUUUUAGUUGCCUUCAGUGAGCUAGGAUUGUCUUGACAAUAGCCAUAUCAUCAUGGCUGAAAUAUGCAUUUGAUUGUAAUUUUAGUAACACCCACCUUUUCUGGUAGCUUGUAUUCAAUGCUUCUUGUUAAUGCUUUCAGUUUAAACUACUUGCUUUUGGAAAAAUUAAUGCUGUACUAUGACAAGCCAAAAAGUAAGCUGGACUCGGAAUAUUUUAUAAUUGCUAUAAUUAAUAUUAAUACAGUCUUUUAAUUUUUAAAGUGUUAUGCCAGCAACAUUCAUUUCUCAACAUUUCUUAAAGAUACAAAUUUCAUUUUCGGCAUAAAUUCAAUCUGUCAAGGUCAAGACCCACCUUUACCAAAAAAGACUCUUUAAACAAAAGGUUGAUUAUGUGACCGCUCUGGCAAAAGCACUUUGACAACUGUAAGAAGAGUGGGCAUGCGCACAGAGGGAACUGUGGGGGCUGAAGUCCUUCACAGGGUACUCCGCCUGACUCCACGUUCAGCAGGGAAAGGAGGAAACCUCGUAAAUACAGAUUCCAAGGAAAGUCUAUGCCAGGUGUGGUGGCACACGCCUGUAAUCCCAGGAGGCUGAAGCAGGAAGAUCACGCAAAUUCAAGGCCAG